UACAGAGGGGGCAAGCGUUGUUCGGAAUUACUGGGCGUAAAGGGCGCGUAGGCGGCCCGCUAAGUCGAACGUGAAAUCCCCCAGGCUCAACCUGGGAACUGCGUCCGAUACUGGCAGGCUUGAAUCCGGGAGAGGGAUGUGGAAUUCCAGGUGUAGCGGUGAAAUGCGUAGAUAUCUGGAGGAACACCGGUGGCGAAGGCGGCAUCCUGGACCGGUAUUGACG
rnacentral:rRNA from 1 species